GACGAACGCUGGCGGCGUGCUUAACAUAUGCAAGUCGAACGGUAAGGCCCUUCGGGGUACACGAGUGGCGAACGGGUGAGUAACACGUGGGUGAUCUGCCCUGCACUUCGGGAUAAGCCUGGGAAACUGGGUCUAAUACCGGAUAGGACUCCGGACUGCAUGGUCUGGGGUGGAAAGCUUUUGCGGUGUGGGAUGGGCCCGCGGCCUAUCAGCUUGUUGGUGGGGUGAUGGCCUACCAAGGCGACGACGGGUAGCCGGCCUGAGAGGGUGACCGGCCACACUGGGACUGAGAUACGGCCCAGACUCCUACGGGAGGCCGCAGUGGGGAAUAUUGCACAAUGGGCGCAAGCCUGAUGCAGCGACGCCGCGUGAGGGAUGACGGCCUUCGGGUUGUAAACCUCUUUCAGCAUCGACGAAGCGAAAGUGACGGUAGGUGCAGAAGAAGGACCGGCCAACUACGUGCCAGCCGCCGCGGUAA
rnacentral:rRNA from 1 species